AGACGACGUUCUCCCCGCCUGCGCGCCGGCGGUUUGCGGACAUCUCGCGCUGCGCUUGUGUCGUCUGCGAGCAAGAACUACAAAGUCAAUCAUCGCCGGAGUGCAAUAUGGCCGCACCAACGGCACGUGCCGCGUGUUCUUGCUGCAUGACGGCAUCCUCUACCGCCGCAAUAUCAAGCCUGACGGUCCUGAGUUCCUGCUUGCCCUUCCUCGUCAUCUGCGACCCGUCGUUCUCGAACAACUUCACGAUGCACCGAUGGCGGGACACGCUGGACACCAUGGACGCGUGCGAUUCCAUAGGUCCAGGAACGUCCGCACGUACUCUGGGUUGGCCGUGACAAACUCUCUCACGUCGCCCAGGCCAAACUUGCGCAGCGCCGCCAACCACCUCGCCCGGG